CGUAGGUGGCAAGCGUUGUCCGGAAUUAUUGGGCGUAAAGCGCGCGCAGGCGGUCCUUUAAGUCUGAUGUGAAAGCCCUCGGCUCAACCGAGGAGGGUCAUUGGAAACUGGAGGACUUGAGUGCAGAAGAGGAAAGUGGAAUUCCAAGUGUAGCGGUGAAAUGCGUAGAGAUUUGGAGGAACACCAGUGGCGAAGGCGACUUUCUGGUCUGUAACUGACGCUGAGGCGCGAAAGCGUGGGGAGCAAACAGGAUU
rnacentral:rRNA from 1 species